rnacentral:rRNA from 1 species
ACUCCUACGGGAGGCAGCAGUGAGGAAUAUUGGUCAAUGGGCGGAAGCCUGAACCAGCCAUCCCGCGUGCAGGAAGAAUGCGCUAUGCGUUGUAAACUGCUUUUCCAGGGGGCGAACGUUCCGUACGUGUACGGGAGUGACGGUACCUUGGGAAUAAGCAUCGGCUAACUCCGUGCCAGCAGCCGCGGUAAUACGGAGGAUGCGAGCGUUAUCCGGAUUUAUUGGGUUUAAAGGGUGCGUAGGCGGAUUAAUAAGUCAGUGGUGAAAACCUGCAGCUUAACUGUGGAACUGCCGUUGAUACUGUUAGUCUUGAGUAUGGUCAAGGUAGGCGGAAUGUGUAAUGUAGCGGUGAAAUGCUUAGAUAUUACACAGAACACCGAUUGCGAAGGCAGCUUACUGGGCCAUAACUGACGCUGAUGCACGAAAGCGUGGGGAUCGAACAGGAUUAGAUACCCUGGUAGUC